GGGUCGUUAGCUCAGUCGGUAGAGCAGCGGACUUUUAAUCCGUUGGUCGCAGGUUCGAAUCCUGCACGACCCA
rfam:Tepidimonas fonticaldi strain PL17 contig_7, whole genome shotgun sequence.